ensembl:lncRNA
UUUUUAAAUCUUAGUCCAGUCUUCUGUAUCUCUCAUUGAUCUAAUGAGUUCCUCUUUGAGUAGGGAAAUACUUGGAAAUGUGGUUUAACACUUUUGACGGCUUUGCUCUAUUUUUAGCUGCUUCGUGACUCAUUCCUGCCUUAAUUGCACGGAACAGAGACCGCCUUGUGUAGUCACUGGUAUCGAUGGACCCUUGGUGAGUGUCAAGAGUCACACGUGCUACAAGGACCCUGCCUGCCUGCUUUCCCCUGGACGGAGAUAUUUAAUUGCAUUUGUUCACAUCUUCUCAAUACUCUUGGAUUUUGCUUGCUCUGUUCAUUACUGAAGGGGGGCAUUAAAUGCUACUAUGAGGAAGGUGGGUUUUCAGGUUCUCUCUGUAGCUUAUCAGUUUUUUUUUUUUUUUUUUUUUUUGUAUAUUCCACUGUUUCUGGUUGUUUGCAAGUUAGAAGUGUCGCAUCUACGUGGAUUUACCCUUUGUGAGCGACGAUGUAUGAAGGAGGAGGAGGAAGUGGCCGUUCAGACCCUGGGCUCCAACGUGGGUGACCUGGAGUCCAGACCCAGCGACACGGUAAUCGCCAUGCAAGCUGGGCAAGCAGGCCUUCCUCCAAAUGUCCUGACUCCUUCCUCUGCAAAACAGAGUACUGGGUCUGACCCUCAUGCUGUCCUCACGAGUGUUAGCGCCCAUGCGGCGAGGCUGGCCAAGGCAGGCACCGCAGGUGGGUCAUUCCCACGUGGCCAUGGCUGAGCUCACCACUAAUUUGACCGUUACUUCUGCUCUGCUGCUGCGUUGAGACUUCGCCAGGGUCCAAGCUGACUUGUGCCUUCGUGCCUGCGUCUGAUGGAGACAGAGCUCCAGGCGAGCUCAGUGCUCGCUUUGACGAGAAGGGGCCUGCUGUGCAUUUGUCAGUCUUCUCCUCAGUCCUUCAGGUUGUUUCUUUACUACUUUCAACCCCAUUCCCUUUGACUUUUGCAAGUGGAAUUUAGGACGGCUUAUUAAGUUAAGCCAAUCCAACAACCCAACAAGCCCUGAUUUCCCUCUUUUUUCUUUCUUUUCUUUUUUUUCUUUUUUUCUCCGCUUUUCAGGGCUGCACCUGCAGUAUAUGGAAGUUCCCAGGCUAGAGGUCGAAUUGGAGCUGUAGCCACAGCACCUUAGGUUCUGAGCUGCACCAGCUCACGGCAACUCAGAUCCUUAACCCACUAAGUGAGGUCAGGGAUCGAACCUGCAACCUCAUGGAUACUAGUCGGGUUCAUAACACACUUAGCCACAAUGGGAACUUCCCUGAUUUCCUUCUACUAGUCAAUUAAAUUUUCUUCUGUGUGGGUGGCGGUACUAUUUUUACCAAUAUACUCUCCCACAGGGAGUGAUUACACCUCCUUUCCCUGUUGAAUUGGGCUGACCUCGUAACUCACCUGAAACAAUGCGCAUUGACGAGGAGUAAGCCUACCAGCUGGUCAGAAGCUCCAGUUCCCUGGGCCGUGGGUGUAGCCAGCGUUCCAAGACGCGCGCCCUCUCCCAUGCCCUGGAGACGUGAGAACGGGACAAACAGAACAGAACGCCCUGGCCCCCGGAGGGUGCGGAACGGGGCAAUGACCUUUCUUUGUCACGGCGCCGAGAGGGCGUGUCUGUGGCUGCAGUUCUCACUCAGUGAUUGGGGAUGCCCACCAGCUCAUUUUGGGUGGUACAUUUGUCCUGAUUUUUCUGUGAUUUAGCAAUUUUUUCUCCUCUUCUGCCUGCUUUGGGAUUGAUGAACUACUUAAAAAAAAAAAACAAAACUAUUUUUGCUCUUUAUAUAAUUUGUGUGCCAAGAAAUGCAUCCAUCUUUCCUUCUUGUCUGCGCCCGCCCGAGGCAUGUGGAAGCUCCGGGACAGGGGGCAGGGACUGAACACGCAUCACAGCCGUGACCAGAGCCGUUGCAGUGACAACGAAGGAUCCCUAACCCAUAGAGGCAUCAGGGAAUAACAAGAAAGGCACAGAUCUUAAGUGUCCCAGUUCAAUGAAGCAAAUUCAUAACCUAAGUCUUUUAUGGGAAGAUAGAAUGUCGCCACAUCCCCCACCACCCCAAAGUCCCCCCUCACCCCUUUGCGGCCAGAGUCGGCCCCUCCACCUUGACACCGACUGCGGCGUACCUCACCUUCGUCCAGCAUCGUGUUUCUGAGCUGCAUCUUCCAGGUUAUUGAGUGAAGUACUUUGUCCUUAAAACAGAGAUUGUGGAGCAGUAUUCGGCUGUAUAACGAAACACCUGUCAUUUAUCCUGUCUGUUCUUCAACUGCUUAAAACCACACCGUGGAUCUCCUCGCAUCCUGUCUAUGUGUUCGUCCAACUGAAUUCCUCUUGGGAAAGGUUUCCUUCUCCACGCAGUCUCUCAUGACACCAAUCUGGGCGUCUUUUUUGGAAAUACCCAUGUUCCGUACCAAGCUCAUUCAAAAACCCAAAUCUACGUUUCUAACUGUGUAUUUCUGAAUUCACCGCCCUUACGCAGGCAGAGUCACCGCUCACCUCGUGGCGCUUCGGCUCCUCGCGGGCUUUCGUUCCGUGCUCGGUCCCUGACAGGCCGCCUCCUGCUGCAGGACAUUUGAACUCCCUCCUUCUUCUCUCUGCUUCCUUUGUCUUUUUUUGGUGGCAUAAGCAUUUACAGAAUUGUUUAGUGUCUUCUACCUACAGGAGAAUGUGUGACCGGGUGUUACUACACAGGCACGCACGGCAGGUGUCGCAUCAGUGGAAGAGCGCCCCCACCCUGGUGCUUUCUGAAAGGUCCAGCUAUGCUGGCCUCGGGCAGGCCCCGCUGCCUGUUAGGGGAUGACUCUCCUGAUGUAGGCAUUAACCCCUUGGUGUCUUUUAAUUUUCAACACACACGUACGGCCCAAAGCCAUAUACAUAGACCGCCUUGUUUAGAAGGGUCUAGAAAUAAAACCUACGGUAUGUAUUCUUUGGUGACUCGC